UGUGUGUGUGUGAGGGAGAGAGAGCGCAGUGCUGCUGCUGUCACUUUAAGCCUGUUACUGAUUACACUCAGAAGAAUGCAACGGGAGGAGGAGGAGGAGGAGGAGGAGGAGGAGAAAAAGGAGCGAUGUAAGGAUGAAAAUGUUUCAGUGUGUGUGUGUGUGUGUGGGGACAGUGUCAGGGGUUAGAGGUCGUCUCAAGAGCCUGAGGACGCAGCGGAGAGAAGAAGAAGGAAGACGAGGACACUUUGAGAGACUUUCAGAAAGACGUGGGUUAAGGAAGGAAGGGAAGACGAAGGAGGAGGAGGCGGAGGAGGAGGAGGUGAAGGAGGGGGUUCCCUCAUUCCAGAUCUCAGGGCCGGCGAGGAAACACUGCUCUCAGCCCAGACGACUUUUCCAGAAAAACCGUGUGAUUGUGACGUCGUUCUCAGGAUGAGGUGGACACGUCCUCAGAUGUCUCUGGUGUCCUGUGGUGUCCUCUGCUGCGGUGCUGUAGGUUGCUCAGUAGGCAGUGUAGAUCCUGUGUCAUAAUCAGCAGCUACAUCUGGCUACUGGGUCUCCAACGGCUCGGCCUGCACUUCCUGCUCCCAGUGUCCCUCUGCAUCCUGAUUGGACAUGGCCGUGAGAGAGGGAGGGGCUUAGAUCCUGUGACAGACAGACAGGAUGUUCUCUGUGUCACAACUCCACAAGGGGCACUUGUCAAGGUUUUUUUUUUCUCCUUCGUCUUCCGCCAUUCAUUCUGUCUA